GCAGCCGCGGUAAUUCCAGCUCCAAUAGCGUAUAUUAAAGUUGUUGCAGUUAAAAAGCUCGUAGUUGAAUUUCGGGGUUAGUAAGUUGGUCAUGCCUCUGGUAUGCACUGGCUUUACUGAUUCCUCCUUCUUGAUGAACUGUAAUGUCAUUAAUUUGGUGUUGCAGGGAAUCAGGACUGUUACUUUAGAAAAAUUAGAGUGUUUAAAGCAGGCAUACGCUUGAAUACAUUAGCAUGGAAUAAUGAAAUAGGACGUUUGAUCCUAUUUUGUUGGUUUCUAGGAUUGACGUAAUGAUUAAUAGGGAUAGUUGGGGGCAUUAGUAUUCAAUUGUCAGAGGUGAAAUUCUUGGAUUUAUUGAAGACUAACUACUGCGAAAGCAUUUGCCAAGGAUGUUUUCAUUAAUCAAGAACGAAAGUUAGGGGGAUCGAAGACGAUCAGAUACCGUCGUAGUCUUAACCAUAAACUAUGCCGACUAGGGAUCGGAUGAUGUUAUUUUAAUGA
rnacentral:rRNA from 1 species